UCCAUCAGCCAUCUCUCC
rnacentral:tRNA from 1 species